rnacentral:lncRNA from 1 species
UAUUUUUACAUAGGUCUGAUCCUGUGAAGUCCUGAGCACAUCCUAGCAAAUGCAGAUGAUUUCAGUGGCAGUGGAUGUCAAUUCCCAAGACAACAGAUAAGCAUGGGAUCCAAAAUCGCUUGAUGUUAAUAAGCUGCAUGCAGGCCAACCUCUGGCAAGUCUCCUUCGUACUUCUGACAUCGGAGUCACUCUGGCAAGGAAAACCCUGA